GAUUUUGUUAUUGUACAAUCUUCUGUUGGAUUGUUUUGGGAGAAUCAAAGCCUCCUGGGUUGCUCAGCAAUAAAAUUACAGGAAUUCAGUCCAGUCUCUGGGCAGACUUGACCGGUUAUGGUUCCAUGAAGAUUUUAUGACAAGAUUGUAGAAUAAACUUUGUACUGACAGUGCCAGAGUGGUUACUGGUGGAAACUAGUAAAGUACAGCUGACAUAGGACACUGUGACAUACUAUACAUAAAAUGGUACAGGAAGCUUGGAUUUUAGAUGAGAGUGAAAACAACACAUUUGUUACUUUGAUCUUUUAUUUAGGUCUCUGGGCAGACUUGACCGGUUAUGGUUCCAUGAAGAUUUUAUGACAAGAUUGUAGAAUAAACUUUGUACUGACAGUGCCAGAGUGGUUACUGGUGGAAACUAGUAAAGUACAGCUGACACAAGACACUGUUACAUACUAUACAUAAAAUGGUACAGGAGGCUUGGAUUUUGAAUGAGAGUGUAAACACACAUUU
rnacentral:lncRNA from 1 species